AUUCACCGGACAGAACGACAGAGCGUGAUGGCACUGGCGGUCUCGCUCGUCCUCGCGUGUGCGCUAUUCUCCAAAGCAUACCCACUCCAGUGUGUUGAGUGUAUACCCAUGGGUCCAGAACCAUGCACACCUGCUCGGGUGACUUGUCCAGCUAAGCUAACCAGAUGUGCCAGCACGACUGUGGCUAACUUUGUGGAAGGUCAAAAGACACUUGAAAUAACAGUGAAGACAUGUGCAGCUCCUGCUGAAUGUGCCAGUGGUUCGUUAAGCCUUCAGAAUGUAAGGACAACUGUGAAUACCUACUGCUGUGGAACAGACUUGUGCCAAAAUCGGGAUCCCCCAGCACUGAUUGAUAAAUCACUGAAUGGGAAGCAGUGUUUUGAAUGUUUCGAAAAUAACUGCACAAUUAUUCAGAUGUGCCGUGGAAUAGAAGAUCACUGCAUUACGAUUUCAGCAACCGAUCGUAACAAGACUAAUACAAACAAAGGAUGUGCCUCCCAAACCGUCUGUGCUGGGACCCUGAGAGGUAAAGUUGGAUUGGGCGUUGGACUUAACAUAUACUGCUGCAAGGGAAACCUGUGCAACAGCGCCCUGCCUGUUGAGCAGAGCUUCCACCUCCACCUGCUGCUGGUGUCUCUGGCCUCCUUCAUCCUCUUAUACUGAGCAGGGAGCUGCCUUGCUGUUCCCCCUCCUACCUGUCUGACCUCACAGUCCUCACCAACUCGGCUCUCCACUCCACUCUACAACCCCUCUCCUCUCUCCUAUAUCCCUCUGUGAGCCAGGUGUCAACGCUAGAUCAUGUUGUGUGGGAGGCCUGUAGGAUUGAUUGACAGAAAUGAUGUGUGGGCAUUUCCGCAAUUACUGAAACUUAAAUGUUGUCAAAAGGUUGAAUUAUGAAAAUUGUAAUACUUCUAGCAUUAUUAAUCUUUACACUCAAUUGUUUCACAUAAAUGCAGUUUCUAUUUUAA